rnacentral:rRNA from 1 species
UACGGGGGGAACGAGUGUUAUUCAUCAUAACUGGGCGUAAAGUGCAUGUAGAUGGUAUAAAUUAUGUUAUAUAUACAAAUAAAAAUAUAUAGAUAUGAUCUACUUGAAUAAUGUAGAAAUUUGUGGAAUUUAAUUUAAAGGGGUGAAAUGCGGUAUAAAUUAGAGACCAGCAAUAGGCGAAAGCAACAAAUUAUACUUUAUUGACGUUGUAAUGCAAAAGCAUAGGGAGCAAACAGG